GACGAACGCUGGCGGCGUGCUUAACACAUGCAAGUCGAACGGAAAGGUCCUGCUUUUGUGGGGUGCUCGAGUGGCGAACGGGUGAGUAACACGUGAGUAACCUGCCCUUGACUUUGGGAUAACUUCAGGAAACUGGGGCUAAUACCGGAUAGGAGCUCCUGCUGCAUGGUGGGGGUUGGAAAGUUUCGGCGGUUGGGGAUGGACUCGCGGCUUAUCAGCUUGUUGGUGGGGUAGUGGCUUACCAAGGCUUUGACGGGUAGCCGGCCUGAGAGGGUGACCAGCCACAUUGGGACUGAGAUACGGCCCAGACUCCUACGGGAGGCAGCAGUGGGGAAUAUUGCACAAUGGGCGGAAGCCUGAUGCAGCAACGCCGCGUGCGGGAUGACGGCCUUCGGGUUGUAAACCGCUUUCGCCUGUGACGAAGCGUGAGUGACGGUAAUGGGUAAAGAAGCACCGGCUAACUACGUG
rnacentral:rRNA from 1 species